rnacentral:rRNA from 1 species
GGGUGAUCUGCCCUGCACUUUGGGAUAAGCCUGGGAAACUGGGUCUAAUACCGAAUAGGACCACGCGCUUCAUGGUGUGUGGUGGAAAGCUUUUGCGGUGUGGGAUGGGCCCGCGGCCUAUCAGCUUGUUGGUGGGGUAAUGGCCUACCAAGGCGACGACGGGUAGCCGGCCUGAGAGGGUGACCGGCCACACUGGGACUGAGAUACGGCCCAGACUCCUACGGGAGGCAGCAGUGGGGAAUAUUGCACAAUGGGCGCAAGCCUGAUGCAGCGACGCCGCGUGAGGGAUGACGGCCUUCGGGUUGUAAACCUCUUUCNCCAGGGACGAAGCGNAAGUGACGGUACCUGGAGAAGAAGCACCGGCCAACUACGUGCCAGCAGCCGCGGUAAUACGUAGGGUGCGAGCGUUGUCCGGAAUUACUGGGCGUAAAGAGCUCGUAGGUGGUUUGUCGCGUUGUUCGUGAAAACUCACAGCUUAACUGUGGGCGUGCGGGCGAUACGGGNNNNNCGGCCGCAAGGCUAAAACUCAAAGGAAUUGACGGGGGCCCGCACAAGCGGCGGAGCAUGUGGAUUAAUUCGAUGCAACGCGAAGAACCUUACCUGGGUUUGACAUGCACAGGACGCCGGCAGAGAUGUCGGUUCCCUUGUGGCCUGUGUGCAGGUGGUGCAUGGCUGUCGUCAGCUCGUGUCGUGAGANNNNNAACCCUUGUCCUAUGUUGCCAGCGGGUUAUGCCGGGGACUCGUAGGAGACUGCCGGGGUCAACUCGGAGGAAGGUGGGGAUGACGUCAAGUCAUCAUGCCCCUUAUGUCCAGGGCUUCACACAUGCUACAAUGGCCGGUACAAAGGGCUGCGAUGCCGUGAGGUGGAGCGAAUCCUUUCAAAGCCGGUCUCAGUUCGGAUCGGGGUCUGCAACUCGACCCCGUGAAGUCGGAGUCGCUAGUAAUCGCAGAUCAGCAACGCUGCGGUGAAUACGUUCCCGGGCCUUGUACACACCGCCCGUCACGUCAUGAAAGUCGGUAACACCCGAAGCCGGUGGCCUAACCCUUGUGGAGGGAGCCGUCGAAGGUGGGAU